UCUCCGUUGGUGAACCAGCGGAGGGAUCAUUACCGAGUUUACAACUCCCAAACCCAAUGUGAACGUUACCAAACUGUUGCCUCGGCGGGGUCACGCCCCGGGUGCGUCGCAGCCCCGGAACCAGGCGCCCGCCGGAGGAACCAACCAAACCCUUUCUGUAGUCCCCUCGCGGACGUUAUUUCUUACAGCUCUGAGCAAAAAUUCAAAAUGAAUCAAAACUUUCAACAACGGAUCUCUUGGUUCUG
rnacentral:misc_RNA from 1 species